CCUACGGGGGACAGCAGUGAGGAAUAUUGGUCAAUGGCCGGAAGUCUGAACCAGCCAAGCCGCGUGAAGGACGAAGGUGCCAAGCAUUGUAAACUUCUUUUGUCAAGGGACAAAAUCAGGCUCGAGCGCCUGACCGAGGGUACUUGAAGAACGAGCAUCGGCUAACUCCGUGCCAGCAGCCGCGGUAGUACGGAGGAUGCGAGCGGUAUCCGGUUUUAUUGGGUUAAAAGGGUGCGUAGGCGGGCUGUUAAGUCAGCGGUAAAAGCCCGGGGCUCAACCCCGGCGAGCCGUUGAAACUGGCUGUCUUGAGAUGUCGAGAGGUAGGCGGAAUGCGCAGUGUAGCGGUGAAAUGCUUAGAUAUUGCGCAGAACUCCGAUGGCGAAGGCAGCAUACCGGAGGCGAUCUGACGCUGAGGCACGAAAGCGUGGGUAUCGAACAGGAUUAGAUACCCCUGUAGUC
rnacentral:rRNA from 1 species